UUAACCUAACUUUCAUUUACGUUAUGUUACGUUAUAUUCUUUUGCAACUUUAGAUUUAUUAACAUUUCACAUUUCAAUAUAUAAAAUAAAAACAAUAAUAAAAAAUUGUAGAUUCAUUAAUAUUUCAUAUUUUAACACUCAAAGAAAAGUAAUAAAAAUAUUCUACAUUUUAUACAAGCUUUUCUGUGAUGAUUAAUAUAACCACAAAUUUCAUCGAAAUUAAUCUCUUUUACGAAUUUCUUUCUGUUUCACAAUGAAAAAAGCAAAACUUAUAUUCAAACCAUACCAUUAAUUUUCCCACGAUUAUCUUGGAAUAAUCGUCGAUGAAUUUUUCAGGCAAUAAUGGUAGAGUGAGAAAAGAUCCAAGCGGCACGUAACUCGUAAAUCGAGCGGAUCGACGUAAUUCGAGGCAACUUGCAUGCGCAUGCGCAUUGGCGAACUUUACACCCAGAUCAGUGUUGGCCCCUCUGGUUACUGCAAAGCCAGGAUAAUUUAUCGGCAAUAAUAACGCAGGCAGCAGUCGGUCGCUCGUCAAAACUUUCUUGCCCGAUGGCCGCACAUACAUAUAUCACACCCUCUCUUAGUUCCAUCUUCUUUCCACUACGGCAAAGUUUUCCGUUUAAUAAGUUUCAGCAAUUUUUCACUUUUCCAACAGCGUGUUAUUCGGAGAAACAGAGAGUAGAAAAGGGAAAGAUCGUUGAUUUUUCGUAGGGUGAAAACGACUUUCGCUUUCAAACUCGCGUUAAAGUUGUCUGUAACAUUCAUCGAGGAUUUGAAGUGGUGAUACGUAAUGGAUUUUUUGAUAAAGAAGAUCAUAAAGUGAUUCUGUGAAGAUGGUGAUAGGUUAAAAAUCGAUUGUUUUAUUUAUUUCGUAAUAAUAGUAAAAUACCAUUAGAUUUAGGUUAGAAUUCUUUUAAUAUUUAAAUAAUAGAUUACAUGAAAAAUUAUGUUAAAAAUUGAUCAUUUUUGGUGUCAAAUUUUGUUUUCAAAAAAUAGAAAAUAUUAUUAAAAUAAUAAAUUUAUAGUAAUUUUAAUUAAAAUAAUAAAACUUUUUCUUGUUAAAUAUUAAUACUAUUAAGAACAUGUGAAAAAAUGUGCCCUGAAAAAAUAUUCUUAAAAUUUUCACAAAAUAUUAAUUUUGUCUAAAUUAGAAAAAUCUGAAACAAAUGAUUUUUAUUAAAACCGUCUUUAAUCUUCAAAUUUGUUGAAAGAAGAAAAAUAGUGCAUGGAAAAUUUGUUUCUCGUCCAUUUCGUAUUUGACACAACUAAAAUGAAUUUAGCAUUUAGUAUUUCAAUAUAUUUUCAUAUUCUACACAUAUAACAAUUUAUACGAAAAUAAUUGAAAUAAAUUUUUAAGUACAAGAAUAUAUUUAUCGAUGUAUGUAGGCAUAUUAUGUGAAGAUUAUCCGAAUAUAUCUUAAUGACAUUUCCCAAAGAUUAUAUUAAAUUAUAUUAAAAUCACAUUUACAUAAAUAUGUAAAUUUUUCAUAUAAGAUUCAUAUCGAUAAUCGAACAAUUUGAUGAAAAUAUAAAAAUAUGAAAAAAUAUUAAAGUUAAAUACGUAAAUACGUAAAUAGAAAUUUAUUAUAUUCAAAAUAUUAAAAUUAAAAUUCAAAUAUUAAAAUUAAAAUAAAUAAGAGAGGAAGUUUAAUGAAGAAAGUAUAAUUGUUCUAUUGUAAAUAGAACUAUUGUUCCAGUCUUAAUUAUGUGAUUGAGGUUAUGAACGUGAAUGAGGUUAUGGACACGAAUUAAUAAAACUACGAUUCUUUAUUUGAUUGUUUAUUGAUUUGAGUUGGUCUAGUUCUUUAAAUAUAGACUUAAAUAUAGACUUCUAUGAAUUUCAAUGAAAUAUAUUAUUAAAUAUUUAAAAAAAACUAUUUAAAAAAAGGAUAUAGAAAUAAUUGAAUUUAUCAAAAAAAUAAAAAAAAAUAGAUCAAAAGAAAAAAACACUUCUCAAACAAAGAACAAUGAUCGGUAUAACUGAAAGAACCACACAAGUAAAAAUUAGACAGUCAGCAAAUAGGAAACACACGAAAGGGAAAGCAAAAGAGCGAAAGCAUCGCAUCGAUGGAAGGUAAAGGGGGUUGAGAGGAAGUUGGCGGAAAAAUGUGGAAAGAGACUGAGCUAAAUUAAAGGGCGUCGCGAACAAAGGCGAAUGUGCUUCGAGAGCAAAACAGGCUGCGAGUAGUAUAGGUGUACGCUACAUAGGUGGUCAUGGGGGUGUCUACGUUUGCCUCUUCGUGUCAGAUCUAAGCGCGUGGCUGUAGUGUUGUUGGCUGACGAGAAUAGAGAUGGAAAGCGAAGAUACGUAGUGAAUUUCAAUGUGUUCUGUGAUUCGUGCCCAGAAAACUAUUUUCCUCAACGUGGUUGAAGAGAAAGAAAAGAAUGAAUGAUAUAGAAGAGACAAAAAAGAAAGAAGAUCGAAGGAUGUAUAUAAGGAAAUGAUAAAACUCGUUCAAAGAAGGAUUAAUCAUGGGAAAAUUAAAUUAAAAAUUAAAUUUAAAAAAACGAGUGAAAUUAAAGGAGCAAAAAUCUGCGAAAUUUGAUCUAGAAGUAAUAUAAUAUAUCAUGAACUGAUUUAAAUAUAUAUAGAAAAUGUAGCUACAUUUGUGCAUGUUGAUGAGAAAAUUGAAAUUUUUGCAAAUAAUAAAAAAAGAUGUAAGCAUAA